AGUGUUAUAAAAGAGUUUUUGGCAUCUUGAAGCUUCUGCCAGAUUUAUUUUGGUAUCCUAUGGCCAGAGACAGUAGAACAUCACAGAGCACGAUGCAGCUUCUGGUCUUGCGAUUUCUGAUGACCCAGCUGCUUCAAGUCCAGGGGCUGCAGAGGCUGGACCACAGAUGGCGAUGU